rnacentral:rRNA from 1 species
AGUCGACGGGAUCCAUCAAGCUUGCUUGGUGGUGAGAGUGGCGAACGGGUGAGUAAUGCGUGACCGACCUGCCCCAUGCUCCGGAAUAGCUCCUGGAAACGGGUGGUAAUGCCGGAUGUUCCACAUGAUCGCAUGUGAUUGUGGGAAAGAUUCUAUCGGCGUGGGAUGGGGUCGCGUCCUAUCAGCUUGUUGGUGAGGUAACGGCUCACCAAGGCUUCGACGGGUAGCCGGCCUGAGAGGGCGACCGGCCACAUUGGGACUGAGAUACGGCCCAGACUCCUACGGGAGGCAGCAGUGGGGAAUAUUGCACAAUGGGCGCAAGCCUGAUGCAGCGACGCCGCGUGAGGGAUGGAGGCCUUCGGGUUGUAAACCUCUUUUGUUUGGGAGCAAGCCUUCGGGUGAGUGUACCUUUCGAAUAAGCGCCGGCUAACUACGUGCCAGCAGCCGCGGUAAUACGUAGGGCGCAAGCGUUAUCCGGAUUUAUUGGGCGUAAAGGGCUCGUAGGCGGCUCGUCGCGUCCGGUGUGAAAGUCCAUCGCUUAACGGUGGAUCUGCGCCGGGUACGGGCGGGCUGGAGUGCGGUAGGGGAGACUGGAAUUCCCGGUGUAACGGUGGAAUGUGUAGAUAUCGGGAAGAACACCGAUGGCGAAGGCAGGUCUCUGGGCCGUCACUGACGCUGAGGAGCGAAAGCGUGGGGAGCGAACAGGAUUAGAUACCCUGGUAGUCCACGCCGUAAACGGUGGACGCUGGAUGUGGGGCACGUUCCACGUGUUCCGUGUCGGAGCUAACGCGUUAAGCGUCCCGCCUGGG